rnacentral:rRNA from 1 species
AUACGAAGGGUGCAAGCGUUAUUCGGAAUUACUGGGCGUAAAGCGCGCGUAGGUGGUUCGUUAAGUUGGAUGUGAAAGCCCCGGGCUCAACCUGGGAACUGCAUCCAAAACUGGCGAGCUAGAGUAUGGCAGAGGGGGGUGGAAUUUCCUGUGUAGCGGUGAAAUGCGUAGAAAUAGGAAGGAACACCAGUGGCGAAGGCGACCACCGGGGCUAAUAUGAGCACUGAGGUGCAAAGGGUGGGGGGUGAACAAGGGUUAGAGCCCUGGGUAUUCAACCCGGAAACCAAUGUCGCUAAGUCGUUGAGGUCCUUGAGCCCUUAGUGCCGCAGCUAACGCAUUAAGUCGUCCGCCUGGGGAGUACGGCCGCAAGGUUGAAACUCAAAUGAAUUGACGGGG